rnacentral:lncRNA from 1 species
GACGUAGUUCAACAAACAACAUAGUUCAACAGAAAACAUAGUUCAAUAGACAACAUCAUAACACUCAGAAUACGACAUAGGUCAUAACACUUCACUUCCUCCCUCUCUUUGCAGCCACCUUGCCCUUAGUAACGUAGCCCUCUGGAGUGUUCUGCCAGCCAGGACAUCUGAUGUUCCUUGAGCUAGCUCGACGUGUUUUUUCCGUUGGCCGAGUGGGUUGACUUGGCUGCAGAGCAUCUUCCAUCUGCGAAGCCCCAAACUCAAUGAAGUCUGGAUCCGCGGCGUCGUUGUCGGACUCAUCUUCUUCUUCAAUCUCCUCUUCAUGUGCUCGGCUAGAAGAAACAU